UACCCCGGGAACUGGGGAUAAUUCCGGAUAACGCAUAUUUGCUGGAAUGCUUUAUGCGUCAAAAGGAUUCGUCUGCCCAAGGAUGGGUCUGCGGCCUAUCAGGUAGUAGUGGGUGUAAUGUACCUACUAGCCAGCGACGGGUACGGGUUGUGAGAGCAAGAGCCCGGAGAUGGAUUCUGAGACAUGAAUCCAGGCCCUACGGGGCGCAGCAGGCGCGAAAACUUUACAAUGCGGGAAACCGUGAUAAGGGGACACCGAGUGCCAGCAUCAUAUGCUGGCUGUCCGGAUGUGUAAAAUACAUCCGUUAGCAAGGGCCGGGCAAGACCGGUGCCAGCCGCCGCGGUAACACCGGCGGCCCGAGUGGUGAUCGUGAUUAUUGGGUCUAAAGGGUCCGUAGCCGGUUUGGUCAGUCCUCCGGGAAAUCUGAUAGCUCAACUAUUAGGCUUUCGGGGGAUACUGCCAGACUUGGAACCGGGAGAGGUAAGAGGUACUACAGGGGUAGGAGUGAAAUCUUGUAAUCCCUGUGGGACCACCUGUGGCGAAGGCGUCUUACCAGAACGGGUUCGACGGUGAGGGACGAAAGCUGGGGGCACGAACCGGAUUAGAUACCCGGGUAGUCCCAGCCGUAAACGAUGCUCGCUAGGUGUCAGGCAUGGCGCGACCGUGUCUGGUGCCGCAGGGAAGCCGUGAAGCGAGCCACCUGGAAGUACGCC
rnacentral:rRNA from 1 species